AACGAACGCUGGCGGCAUGCCUAACACAUGCAAGUCGAACGAGACCUUCGGGUCUAGUGGCGCACGGGUGCGUAACGCGUGGGAACCUGCCCUUAGGUUCGGAAUAACUCCCCGAAAGGGGUGCUAAUACCGGAUAAUUUCUUCGGACCAAAGAUUUAUCGCCUUUGGAUGGGCCCGCGUUGGAUUAGCUAGUUGGUAGGGUAAAAGCCUACCAAGGCGACGAUCCAGAGCUGGUCUGAGAGGAUGAUCAGCCACACUGGGACUGAGACACGGCCCAGACUCCUACGGGAGGCAGCAGUGGGGAAUAUUGGACAAUGGGCGAAAGCCUGAUCCAGCAAUGCCGCGUGAGUGAUGAAGGCCUUAGGGUUGUAAAGCUCUUUUACCCGGGAUGAUAAUGACAGUACCGGGAGAAUAAGCUCCGGCUAACUCCGUG
rnacentral:rRNA from 1 species